UUUCUUGAGAGUUUGAUCCUGGCUCAGGAUGAACGCUGGCGGCGUGUCUUAGGCAUGCAAGUCAAGGGGGUUUCGCGAGCAAUCGUGGAACAACCGGCAAACGGGAGCGUAACACAUUGGUAACCUGCCCCCAUCACGGCCAUAACCCGGAGAAAUCUGGACUAAUUGCCGAUGGUCUCUCAUACCCGAUUGGGUGUGAGAGUAAAGGUUUCGCGCAAGCGAAGCCAGAUGGGGAGGGGCCUAUGGUCCAUCAGCUUGUUGGUGAGGUAAUGGCUCACCAAGGCGACGACGGAUAGCGGGUGUGAGAGCAUGACCCGCCUCACUGGGACUGAGAAACUGCCCAGACUCCUACGGGAGGCUGCAGUCAAGAAUCUUCCCCAAUGGCCGAAAGGCUGAGGGAGCGACGCCGCGUGCAGGAUGAAGCCCUUCGGGGUGUAAACUGCUUUUCUGAGGGAAAAAUCAAUGAUGGUACCUCAGGAAUAAGGCGCUGCUAACUUCGUGCCAGCAGCAGCGGUAAUACGAAGGCGCCAAGCGUUAUCCGGAUUUACUGGGCGUAAAGAGCUCAACGGUGGUUUCACGCGUUCUCGGUUAAAUAUGCAGGCUCAACCUGCAUGCCGCCGGGAAAACGGUGAAACUUGAGGGCAGAAGAGGCAGACGGAAUUGCCGGUGUAGUAGUAAAAUGCGUUAAUAUCGGCAAGAACACCCAAUGCGAAGGCAGUCUGCUAGGAUGACCCUGACACUUCACGAGCGAAAGCGUGGGGAGCGAUACGGAUUAGAUACCCGUGUAGUCCACGCCGUAAACGUUGGAUACUAGGUCUUGGGAGUAUCGACCCUCUCAGGAUCGUUUACUCAAGCUAACGCAGUAAGUAUCCCGCCUGGGGAGUACGGCCGCAAGGCUAAAACUCAAAGGAAUUGACGGGAACCCGCACAAGCGGUGGAGCAUGUGGUUUAAUUCGACGAUAACCGAGGAACCUUACCAGGGCUUGAAAUCCUAGCUGCACAGCCGCAGAAACGUGGCUUCCUUCGAGGGUGCUAGGACAGGUACUGCAUGGUUGUCGUCAGCUCGUGUCGUGAGAUUUUGGGUUAAGUCCCCUAACGAGCGCAACCCCUAUGGUAUGUUACAUUUGUUCAUGCCAGACUGCCCCGGAUAACGGGGAGGAAGGCGGGGAUGACGUCAAAUCAGCAUGGUCCUCUGAUGCCCUGGGCUACACACGUGCUACAAUGGGAAGUACAAUGGGUUGCUAAGUCGUAAGACGGAGCCAAUCCCAUCAAAGCUUCUCUCAGUUCGGAUUGAGGGCUGCAACUCGACCUCAUGAAGCUGGAAUCGCUAGUAACCGCAGAUCAGCUAUGCUGCGGUGAAUACGUUCUCGGGUUUUGUACACACCGCCCGUCAAGCCAGGAGAGUCGGGGAUGCCCGAAUCCCGCAUUUGCGGGAGAAGGUAGACUCGAUGAUAAGGGCUAAGUCGUAACAAGGCAGCGGUAGCGGAAGCUGUCGCUGGAUCACCUCCUUUCUAGGGAG
rnacentral:rRNA from 1 species